AUGUCAUUAACGUUAUUUGGCAAUGAUAGGAGGAAUAAAAUUCUAGAUAUAAAUCAACCAAUAGGUAGAGUAGGACAUUCUAUGCAUUUUUAUUAUGAACUAAAUUUAAGUGAUAAUAGUAGUAACGGUAGUAAUAAUAACAGUAGCCAUAGUGGCAGUAGUAACAGUAAUAACAGUAGUAGCAGUGGUGACAAUAGUAACAGUAGUAACAGUAGUGAUAGUGAUAGUAGUAGUAGUAUUAUCAGUAGUAGCGACAAUAGUAGUAAUUGUGACAGUAACUGUAGUAAUCAUACUGAUAAUUACAGUAGUAGUAAUAUUAACCUAUUAAAAAAUGAAGACAAUUAUAUAGCUGGUAAUGAGAAAAACGUGUUAAAUAUCUACAAAGGUAAUGAAAAUGAUGAAAAAGAGGAAAGGUUUGUUAAUACAAACAUAAAAAAAAAGGAACAUGGGAAUAAAAAUGAUUUAAAUGAUGGUAAUAAUUUAGAUAAUAAGAACAAUUUAAAUAGUGAAAAUAAAAAUUCGAAUAUUGAAUUUCGUAAUAAAAAUGAUUACACAAAAAAUAAAAGAUUGACCUCAAAAAGAAAAAAAAAUAAUAAUCAUAAUGAUUAUUAUAGUAGUAAUAGUAGUAGUGAUAGUAGUAGUAAUAAUAAUAAUAACAACAACAAUUACAAUAAUAAUAAUAAUAGAUCGAUUUAUGGAAUGUAUAAACUGGUAUUAUUUGGUGGUGGUACAUUAGAUUAUGAUUUUAUGAAAAAUUAUUCAAGUGAUUAUUUAAUGAAUUUACAAGGUUAUAAUUUAUAUAAUAGUGAAAAAUCAUGUACGUCAAAUUAUACACAAUCAAAUAAUAUGAGUAUUGAAAAUAACUUAUGUAAAACUUAUAAUGAUUUAUAUAUUUGUGAAGAAGAAAAUAACUCCUUCGAAUCAUGGAAAUGUAUUAAAACAUAUAACACACCUAAAGAAAGGGCAUUUCAUGCUUCUUGUGUUGUUAAUUUGGGUUUAAAUGGUAUUUUUUUUUUUAUUCACGGUGGGAAAGUUAAUAAUGAUAUGUUAGCAAAUGAUUCGUUAUAUGCAUUAAAUUUAAAUAAAUUGUUUUACAAAGAUAAUGUUGAUAAUAAUGAUUCUUUUUUUGAACAAAACUUUGAUAAGGAAAAAUAUAAUGCUGAAGAGUAUGAUAAAGAGUAUCAAUUGGAUGAUACUAAUGUAAAAGAAGGUAUAAAUAGCAAUAAUUCAUAUAGUACACCUAUAAACUAUUGUGACAAAACAGAUAAUAAUUAUAAACCUUCCUCUGAUCAUAAUAAUGAAAUUAAAAAUUAUAAUUAUGACACAUGUGAUGAAUGUGUUGAAACAAAAAGAAACGCAACAACCGAAUCAGAAAAAAAAUAUUAUAGUAGCGAAAAUAAUGAAGAAUAUAAUGAAAGUGAUAAUAAAAUGCAAAAUAAUAUAUAUAAUAUGACAAAUGAAAGUAGUGACAAGAAUAUUACCGAACCCAAUGGUAAUGUGAAUGAGGAUGUGAAUGAGAAUGUGAAUGAUCAUAAUGAUGACAGUGACAAUAACAAUGACAAUGAUGAUGACAAUGAUGAUGACAAUGAUGAUGACAAUGCAAAUGUAUUAAAAAUGCAGGAGAAAGAACUAAACCGUCAUUCCGAAUGUAACAAAGAAAUAAUUGUUAAUAAAAAUGACAUUUAUUAUAAAAUUAACAGUACAACUAUAGAUAUUUCUUCUUAUGAAAUAAAAACAACAAAUAAAAAUAUUGACAGUAAUGUUGUAUGUGAUAAUAGUGAUUGUCAUAAUAUUAACAAUAGUAUUGUAAAAAUGGAAAAAACGGAAAAAACGGAAAAAACGGAAGAAACGGAAGAAAGAAAAUACAUUUCAUUGAAUGAUUUAGCUAUGAGUAAAAAAAGACGCUUAUCAGAUAGUUUUUAUACAUCAAGUGAUUCUAUAUCUUCUGAACAAUCGUCAUAUGGGUCUUCAAACAUGACUAACUCGUCAGAUAUAACCAAUUCUGUAAAUUCUACUUCUCCUUAUACAUCACAUUUAAAACAAGCGCAUUAU
ensembl:lncRNA